rnacentral:rRNA from 2 species
UUUAUGGAGAGUUUGAUCCUGGCUCAGGAUGAACGCUGGCGGCGUGCCUAAUACAUGCAAGUCGAGCGAACAGACGAGGAGCUUGCUCCUCUGACGUUAGCGGCGGACGGGUGAGUAACACGUGGAUAACCUACCUAUAAGACUGGGAUAACUUCGGGAAACCGGAGCUAAUACCGGAUAACAUGUUGAACCGCAUGGUUCAACAGUGAAAGACGGUCUUGCUGUCACUUAUAGAUGGAUCCGCGCCGCAUUAGCUAGUUGGUAAGGUAACGGCUUACCAAGGCAACGAUGCGUAGCCGACCUGAGAGGGUGAUC